CUUGUGACAAAGAAUUAAAAAGGAAGAAAGAAAAAAAUCAAUUCAGCAAUACUAAUACAUUGACUGAGUUGGACAGUGUUCCACACCCAUGGUCUACAAAGAAGAGAGGGAUAUGAGUCUUUUCAUCUCUUCUUCAGGGCUAAGUUUCCAGGGAAAUUGCCAAUUGUUCCAAUCAGCCACUGUUAAUAAUUCCUCCAUAGAUUGGACCUAUGAUUUCACUGAUACAGAAAACUCCCAGGGGGAGUCCACCCAAUGUACCAAAGAACCACUAAGUAAAUCCAAUAUGGAGGAAUAAUGGGAGUACACAAUCAAGAGUUCCACAAGAUGAGCAAGCAUAGAUGAAAUUUGAGAUGAAUCAUUGGUUUUGGUGGGAGUUGUCAUAUUCUCUUCACUUGCUUGGUACCCACACAUACAAAAAAUAGAUAAUUUCCAUCAUAUGAAAUUUAAAAGCACUAGCAAAAUCAAUGCAACUAGGAUAAGAAAGGCAAUAGUUGAUUGGCAAAAGACAUUUGUAUCAAAUACCUCUAAUAAGAGUCUGAUAUCUAAGAUACAUAUGUGUGUGUGUUUGUGCAUGUGUGUAUAUAUACAUAUACAUCCACACACAUAUGCAUAUAUAUACAA